rnacentral:rRNA from 1 species
UCAGAAGUGCGAAUGCUGACAUAAGUAACGAUAAAGCGGGUGAAAAGCCCGCUCGCCGGAAGACCAAGGGUUCCUGUCCAACGUUAAUCGGGGCAGGGUGAGUCGACCCCUAAGGCGAGGCCGAAAGGCGUAGUCGAUGGGAAACAGGUUAAUAUUCCUGUACUUGGUGUUACUGCGAAGGGGGGACGGAGAAGGCUAUGUUGGCCGGGCGACGGUUGUCCCGGUUUAAGCGUGUAGGCUGGUUUUCCAGGCAAAUCCGGAAAAUCAAGGCUGAGGCGUGAUGA